CCUUUUCAUUGACCCAUAUUAGUGCACAAAUCCACACUGACCCAUGCAGAUACACAUACUCACUCACAUGGACUCAGUGACCUGUACACACAAGCACACGCACACUCAGUGACCCAUAAACACACUCAGUGACCCACCCAGAUACACACACACUCAGUGACCCAUACAGAAAUACACACACACUGACCCAUACAGAAAUACACACACUCAGUGACCCAUGAGGAAAUACACACACUCUGUGACCCAUACAGAAAUACACACACACUGACCCAUACAGAAACACGUACACUCAGUGACCCAUAAACACACUCAGUGACCCACACAGAUACACACACACUCAGUGACCCGUACAGAAAUACACACACUCAGUGACCCGUGAGGAAAUACACGCACUCUGUGACCUAUACAGAAAUACACACACUCAGUGACCCAUGAGGAAAUACACGCACUCUGUGACCUAUACAGAAAUACACACACUCAGUGACCCGUGAGGAAAUACACGCACUCUGUGACCUAUACAGAAACACACACUCAGUGAUCUAUACAGAUACAAACACACUCAGUGUUCUAUACAGAAACACACACUCAGUGAUCUAUACAGAUACACACACACGCAGUGUUCUAUACAGAAACACACACACUCUCAGUGACCAAUACAGAUUUACACACACACUCAGUGAUCUAUACAGAAACACAUACACUCAGUGACCCAUACAGAUACACACACUCAGUGACCCAUACAGAAACACACACAGACACACACUCACUCAGUGACCCAUACAGAAACACACACACACACACUCAGUGACCCAUACAGAAAUACACACACAGUGACCCAUACAGAAAAGCACAUGCACAGUGACCCAUACAGAAAUACACAUGCACAAUGACCCAUAAUGAAACACACACACAGUGACCCGUACAGAAACACACACGCACAGACACUGAGUGACCCAUACAGAAACACACACACCCAGUGACCCAAACAGAAACACACACAUUCAGUGACCCAUAGAGAAACACACACACUCAGUGACCCAUACAGAAACACACACACACACACACACAGUGACCCAUACAGAAACAAACACACACACAGUGACCCAUACAGAAAUACACACACACUUAGUGAUCUAUGCACACACAGACCCACGAAGACACUGACACACAUUAAACUUUGCUGAAACAUACAAACACUUACAGCAUGUUCCCUUCAAUUUACUAGAGUCUUUCAGAGAGUGUGGCCGCCGGGAUAUGACAUAUUUCCCUGCGGACUCUAUAGCUCUCUGUAGAGCAAGGAGCAGCGAUACGCC